UGGGGAAUAUUGCACAAUGGGCGCAAGCCUGAUGCAGCCAUGCCGCGUGUAUGAAGAAGGCCUUCGGGUUGUAAAGUACUUUCAGUCGGGAGGAAGGUGGUAAGGUUAAUAACCUUAUCAAUUGACGUUACCGACAGAAGAAGCACCGGCUAACUCCGUGCCAGCAGCCGCGGUAAUACGGAGGGUGCAAGCGUUAAUCGGAAUUACUGGGCGUAAAGCGCACGCAGGCGGUUGAUUGAGUCAGAUGUGAAAUCCCCGGGCUUAACCCGGGAAUUGCAUCUGAUACUGGUCAGCUAGAGUCUCGUAGAGGGGGGUAGAAUUCCAGGUGUAGCGAUGAAAUGCGUAGAGAUCUGGAGGAAUACCGGUGGCGAAGGCGGCCCCCUGGACGAAGACUGACGCUCAGGUGCGAAAGCGUGGGGAGCAAACAGG
rnacentral:rRNA from 1 species